UACGUAGGGCGCAAGCGUUGUCCGGAAUUAUUGGGCGUAAAGAGCUCGUAGGUGGUUUGUUACGUCUGCUGUGAAAACCUAGGGCUUAACCCUGGGCCUGCAGUGGAUACGGGCAGACUAGAGGUAGGUAGGGGAGAAUGGAAUUCCCGGUGUAGCGGUGAAAUGCGCAGAUAUCGGGAGGAACACCGAUGGCGAAGGCAGGUCUCUGGGCCACUACUGACGCUGAGAAGCGAAAGCAUGGGGAGCGAACAGG
rnacentral:rRNA from 1 species